rnacentral:rRNA from 1 species
AUUGAACGCUGGCGGCAUGCCUUACACAUGCAAGUCGAACGGCAGCACGGGUGCUUGCACCUGGUGGCGAGUGGCGAACGGGUGAGUAAUACAUCGGAACAUGUCCUGUAGUGGGGGAUAGCCCGGCGAAAGCCGGAUUAAUACCGCAUACGAUCUACGGAUGAAAGCGGGGGACCUUCGGGCCUCGCGCUAUAGGGUUGGCCGGUGGCUGAUUAGCUAGUUGGGGGGGUAAAGGCCUACCAAGGCGACGACCAGUAGCUGGUCUGAGAGGACGACCAGCCACACUGGGACUGAGACACGGCCCAGACUCCUACGGGAGGCAGCAGUGGGGAAUUUUGGACAAUGGGCGAAAGCCUGAUCCAGCAAUGCCGCGUGUGUGAAGAAGGCCUUCGGGUUGUAAAGCACUUUUGUCCGGAAAGAAAUCCUUGGCCCUAAUACGGUCGGGGGAUGACGGUACCGGAAGAAUAAGCACCGGCUAACUACGUG